ACGCUCGACACCUACGGAGGCAGCAGUGGGGAAUAUUGCACAAUGGGGGAAACCCUGAUGCAGCGACGCCGCGUGAGCGAAGAAGUAUUUCGGUAUGUAAAGCUCUAUCAGCAGGGAAGAAACUGACGGUACCUGACUAAGAAGCACCGGCUAAAUACGUGCCAGCAGCCGUGGUAAUCUGAGCGGGCUGGCAAGGC
rnacentral:rRNA from 1 species